UCAAUUGCGUAUUUUAUCUGUUAAAAAUUUAUAAUGAGUGCGAAUUGUGGUCGAGAAUGCCGAUUAAAGUGACGGGCGAUGAUCGGAGCGUAUCGUUUGCUGCGGAUGUUUUGUAAUUAACAAUGAUUCGGCAUUCGCUUGGUGGCUGGACCAUGAAUGCGCGGUUUUUUAGUAAAACAUGUGUUGUGUGCGUGACUUGUGUACAGUGUCGAAAAAGUCGUCGAGAACAAGAUAAUAAUCGGAUAACACUGCGCGAACGCGGUAUGAAGUACAUUUUAACUCAAGUUUGUUUUAUAUAUCGUAGCAAGUUCAAAAUGUCAAACCGUCUUUUAUUUUCGUGUUAUUUCGAAAGUGAAGUACGCAAGAGUUCUCAGUAUUCAUUGAUUCUUGAGAGAACUGGUGUAGAGCAGUCUACGGCGGAAUUUUCAGCGAAUAAACUGCAAUAUCCUAGCUGGUACAGUCUUUAAAGGCGUGCUUAGCUAGGGUACAACGAUCGG